AUUUUUCCAAUCUAUAAGAUUUUAUUUCUGUUAUAUAUAAGGUACAACACAACCCUUCAUCACCAGAACUGCUAAACAUGGAGAAUCAGCUGAUUAACCUCCCUUUCGUAUUUGUGUUGUUACUUGCCCUUUCUGGUUCACUUAUGAUAAGUGGAAGAGUAGGAGCGGAGAGUGUAACUGUGCAGGAUUGCAAAAUAUCAUGUGAAAAAGGGAGUCCCAAGUUACUGAGCGGGAAGUGGACAUGUGUUGACGAGGUUGGGCGUAAAUAUACAAUAGUUUCGACACCAACGAUGAUGAGCAGCGCAAAUAAAGUUAGUUCUUCAGGGGGUGGGUGUGAUCGGGUAAUGAUGUGUCAAGGAAUAAGUUGCGGUGAUGUUAAUGAUUGUGGUGAUUGCUGUGGUAUUGGCAUGGCUCCAUUCUGUCUGUAUCACCAAUGUGGUUGUAUAUAAAUUUAUCAAGUCCUGGUAUAAAUUUGAAGAAAAAUAAUUUAAUUUGUAGA